GCCGAUGUGCCAGAACGGUAAAUGGGACGGUCUCGAAAACCGUUGUCCGCGAGGACGCCUAGGUUCGAAUCCUAGCAUCGGCG
rnacentral:tRNA from 1 species